rnacentral:rRNA from 1 species
AUUGAACGCUGGCGGAAUGCUUUACACAUGCAAGUCGAACGGUAGAGGGGCAACCCUUGAGAGUGGCGAACGGGUGAGUAAUGUAUCGGAACAUGCCCAGUCGUGGGGGAUAACGUAGCGAAAGUUACGCUAAUACCGCAUACGAUCUAUGGAUGAAAGCGGGGGAUCGCAAGACCUCGCGCGAUUGGAGUGGCCGAUAUCAGAUUAGGUAGUUGGUGGGGUAAAGGCCUACCAAGCCGACGAUCUGUAGCUGGUCUGAGAGGACGACCAGCCACACUGGGACUGAGACACGGCCCAGACUCCUACGGGAGGCAGCAGUGGGGAAUUUUGGACAAUGGGCGAAAGCCUGAUCCAGCCAUUCCGCGUGCAGGAAGAAGGCCUUCGGGUUGUAAACUGCUUUUGUACGGAACGAAACGCGCUGUGCUAAUACCACGGCGUAAUGACGGUACCGUAAGAAUAAGCACCGGCUAACUACGUGCCAGCCGCCGCCGUAA